ACUCNUACGGGAGGCAGCAGUGGGGAAUAUUGGACAAUGGGCGCAAGCCUGAUCCAGCAAUGCCGCGUGUGUGAAGAAGGUCUUCGGAUUGUAAAGCACUUUCGACGGGGACGAUGAUGACGGUACCCGUAGAAGAAGCCCCGGCUAACUUCGUGCCAGCAGCCGCGGUAAUACGAAGGGGGCUAGCGUUGCUCGGAAUGACUGGGCGUAAAGGGCGCGUAGGCGGAUGGCACAGUCAGAUGUGAAAUUCCCGGGCUUAACCUGGGGGCUGCAUUUGAUACGUGUUGUCUAGAGUGAGGAAGGGGUCGUGGAAUUCCCAGUGUAGAGGUGAAAUUCGUAGAUAUUGGGAAGAACACCGGUGGCGAAGGCGGCGACCUGGUCCUUGACUGACGCUGAGGCGCGAAAGCGUGGGGAGCAAACAGGAUUAGAUACCCUGGUAGUCCACGCUGUAAACGAUGUGUGCUGGAUGUUGGGCGACCUAGUCGCUCAGUGUCGUAGCUAACGCGAUAAGCACACCGCCUG
rnacentral:rRNA from 1 species